AAUGUGAUGCCUGAUUAAAGGGUUAUCUUGAUAGGAUAAAUCAUGUAAGUCCAUCUUACUCUCAUUA
rnacentral:tRNA from 1 species